UAGCUCAGUCAGUAGAGCAUAGCGCUAAGGUCGCGGGUUCGAUUCCCGU
rfam:Apaloderma vittatum contig679, whole genome shotgun sequence.